UACGAAGGGGACUAGCGUUGUUCGGAUUCACUGGGCAUAAAGGGCGCGUAGGCGGUUCCAUAAGCGGCAUGUGAAAGCCCCCGGCUCAACCGGGGAAGUGCGUGCCGGACUGUGGUUCUAGAGGGUGGUAGGGGGGACUGGAACUCUCGGUGGAGCGGUGAAAUGCGUAGAUAUCGAGAGGAACACCGGUGGCGAAGGCGAGUCCCUGGUCCACUUCUGACGCUGAGGCGCGAAAGCGUGGGUAGCAAACAGG
rnacentral:rRNA from 1 species